rnacentral:rRNA from 1 species
UGGACGAAGUCUGAACCAGCCAUGCCGCGUGCAGGAUGACGGCCCUACGGGUUGUAAACUGCUUUUAUACAGGAAGAAAAACUUUCUCGUGAGAGAGCUUGACGGUACUGUAAGAAUAAGGAUCGGCUAACUCCGUGCCAGCAGCCGCGGUAAUACGGAGGAUCCAAGCGUUAUCCGGAAUCAUUGGGUUUAAAGGGUCCGUAGGUGGACAGAUAAGUCAGAGGUGAAAUCCUGCAGCUCAACUGUAGAACUGCCUUUGAUACUGUUUGUCUUGAGUUAUUGUGAAGUGGUUAGAAUGUGUAGUGUAGCGGUGAAAUGCAUAGAUAUUACACAGAAUACCAAUUGCGAAGGCAGAUCACUAACAAUUAACUGACACUGAUGGACGAAAGCGUGGGUAGCGAACAGGAUUAGAUACCCUGGUAGUCCACGCCGUAAACGAUGGUCACUAGCUGUUUGGACUUCGGUCUGAGUGGCUAAGCGAAAGUGAUAAGUGACCCACCUGGGGAGUACGUUCGCAAGAAUGAAACUCAAAGGAAUUGACGGGGGCCCGCACAAGCGGUGGAGCAUGUGGUUUAACUCGAUGAUACGCGAGGAACCUUACCAGGGCUUAAAUGUUAGGUGACAGAUCUAGAAACAGAUUUUUCUUCGGACACUUAACAAGGUGCUGCAUGGUUGUCGUCAGCUCGUGCCGUGAGGUGUCAGGUUAAGUCCUAUAACGAGCGCAACCCCUGUUGUUAGUUGCCAGCGAGUAAUGUCGGGAACUCUAGCAAGACUGCCAGUGCAAACUGUGAGGAAGGUGGGGAUGACGUCAAAUCAUCACGGCCCUUACGUCCUGGGCUACACACGUGCUACAAUGGUAGGUACAGUGAGCAGCCAGUGCGCGAGCACGAGCAAAUCUACAAAACCUAUCUCAGUUCGGAUCGGAGUCUGCAACUCGACUCCGUGAAGCUGGAAUCGCUAGUAAUCGGAUAUCAGCCAUGAUCCGGUGAAUACGUUCCCGGGCCUUGUACACACCGCCCGUCAAGCCAUGGAAGUUGGGAGUGCCUGAAGUCCGUUUCCGCAAGGAUCGGCCUAGGGUAAAAUCGAUAACUAGGGCUAAGUCGUAACAAGGUAGCCGUACCGGAAGGUGCGGCUGGAACACCUCCUUUCU